rnacentral:tRNA from 1 species
AUUUUUAUAGCUUAUACUAAAGAGUACAUCAGUGAAGUUGAUAUGGAAAUAGAAUUAUUUAAAAAUA